GACGGAAGGUGCAAGCGUUGCUCGGAAUCACUGGGCGUAAAGGGUGCGUAGGCGGCCGUGCAAGUCUGGCGUGAAAGCCCCGGGCUCAGCCCGGGAAGUGCGCUCGAAACUGCGCGGCUCGAGUGCCGGAGGGGAGAGUGGAAUUCCCGGUGUAGCGGUGAAAUGCGCAGAUAUCGGGAGGAACACCUAUGGCGAAGGCAGCUCGGUGGGACGUUACUGACGCUGAGACGCGAAAGCGUGGGGAGCAAACAGG
rnacentral:rRNA from 1 species